AGAGUUUGAUUAUGGCUCAGGAUGAACGCUAGCGACAGGCUUAACACAUGCAAGUCGAGGGGCAGCGGGGGCGUAGCAAUAUGCCUGCCGGCGACCGGCGCACGGGUGAGUAACACGUAUGUAACCUGCCCUAUGCAGGGGGAUAACCCGGAGAAAUCCGGCCUAAUACCGCGUAACACCUUUGGGGAGCAUUCCCUUGGGGUUAAAGGAGAGAUCCGGCAUAGGAUGGACAUGCGUCGCAUUAGGUAGACGGCGGGGUAACGGCCCACCGUGCCGACGAUGCGUAGGGGUUCUGAGAGGAAGGCCCCCCACACUGGUACUGAGACACGGACCAGACUCCUACGGGAGGCAGCAGUGAGGAAUAUUGGUCAAUGGCCGAGAGGCUGAACCAGCCAAGUCGCGUGAGGGAAGAAUGUCCUAAGGAUUGUAAACCUCUUUUGUCGGGGAGCAAAAAGGCUCUGCGGAGUCGUAUUGAGAGUACCCGAAGAAAAAGCAUCGGCUAACUCCGUGCCAGCAGCCGCGGUAAUACGGAGGAUGCGAGCGUUAUCCGGAUUUAUUGGGUUUAAAGGGUGCGCAGGCGGC
rnacentral:rRNA from 1 species